ACAGUUAAUUCAAGUAUGAACCCCAGCACCGAUCAUCGAUACUAAUCUAAUCCUGAAUUAUUCAGCUAGAUUGGACGUAUUACAGGUUACAGAUUUCUCCAAGUCUGACUUUUGUCUCAGCUACUGGUUUCCGACCGUUGGCUUCCUAUCAGCGUCUAUCGCUUUGUGGAUUCUUAUCAGCAUUGUGACUCUCGCAGCAACAGAGUAUUAACUGAUUCUAUAAUAUUAUACCUCCUGC